AGCAGCCGCGGUAAUUCCAGCUCCAAUAGCGUAUAUUAAAGUUGUUGCAGUUAAAAAGCUCGUAGUUGAAUUUCGGGGUUAGUAGGUUGGUCAUGCCUCUGGUAUGUACUGGUCUCACUGAUUCCUCCUUCCUGAUGAACCUUAAUACCAUUAAUUUGGUGUUUUGGGGAAUUUGGACUGUUACUUUGAAAAAAUUAGAGUGUUUAAAGCAAGCUAACGCUUGAAUACAUUAGCAUGGAAUAAUGAAAUAGGACGUUCGAUCCUAUUUUGUUGGUUUCUAGGAUUGACGUAAUGAUUAAUAGGGAUAGUUGGGGGCAUUAGUAUUCAAUUGUCAGAGGUGAAAUUCUUGGAUUUAUUGAAGACUAACUACUGCGAAAGCAUUUGCCAAGGAUGUUUUCAUUAAUCAAGAACGAAAGUUAGGGGAUCGAAGACGAUCAGAUACCGUCGUAGUCUUAACCAUAAACUAUGCCGACUAGGGAUCGGAUGAUGUUAAUUUUUUAAUGACUCAUUCGGCGCCUUA
rnacentral:misc_RNA from 1 species